UCCGUGCUGUUAAUGGUCUCAUUAGGCAUACUACACAAAAUGUGUAACUUAUUAAUUGUGGCCUCUCCUACGUGCAAUUGUCUACACACAUUUGUUACUCUUUGAAACAUCAAGUAAUUUUAAAACCAUGGAGUCAUUAGCGCUGCAGUAUCACUAUGUUGUCACCAGAGAAAUUGCUCUUGUUUAACUCUUGAUAUUUUUAAUGAUGCGUUCUGAAUUAUAUCACAAAUGUGCUAUGUAGCAUCUAGUUAAAAAAAUUCUUAUUCAGAAGAAUAGAACAAUUUGCAUAUUUUCUAUAUUCCUUGGUAUCAUGAAAAAGGCUAUAUUCUAUAUUCUUGAGUAACAUCCAGAGUAAAUUUCAGAGAUAAUAUGCACAUCUACUGUCAUUUGUUUAUUUAUUCAAUGUGUCCAUCUAUUCAGUGUUCCAUAAAAAUCAGCACCACUAGCAAAAGGAUUGAAGAUGCAAAGCAGAGCAUACACAUGUGUAAAAUAAGUCUUCAGACUUGAGACAACAAAGAUUGGCAUCCAUGUAAUAUCAUUAAAAUUUCAUGGGCACCUAAACAUAAGGAAUACCUUGUGAAAGUCUGGAUACAAGGAAGACAAAGAAG